GCGUGCCUAAUACAUGCAAGUAGAACGCUGAAGAGAGGAGCUUGCUCUUCUUGGAUGAGUUGCGAACGGGUGAGUAACGCGUAGGUAACCUGCCUUGUAGCGGGGGAUAACUAUUGGAAACGAUAGCUAAUACCGCAUAACAAUGGAUGACACAUGUCAUUUAUUUGAAAGGGGCAAUUGCUCCACUACAAGAUGGACCUGCGUUGUAUUAGCUAGUAGGUGAGGUAAUGGCUCACCUAGGCGACGAUACAUAGCCGACCUGAGAGGGUGAUCGGCCACACUGGGACUGAGACACGGCCCAGACUCCUACGGGAGGCAGCAGUAGGGAAUCUUCGGCAAUGGGGGCAACCCUGACCGAGCAACGCCGCGUGAGUGAAGAAGGUUUUCGGAUCGUAAAGCUCUGUUGUAAGUCAAGAACGGGUGUGAGAGUGGAAAGUUCACACUGUGACGGUAGCUUACCAGAAAGGGACGGCUAACUACGUGCCAGCAGCCGCGGUAAUACGUAGGUCCCGAGCGUUGUCCGGAUUUAUUGGGCGUAAAGCGAGCGCAGGCGGUUUGAUAAGUCUGAAGUUAAAGGCUGUGGCUCAACCAUAGUUCGCUUUGGAAACUGUCAAACUUGAGUGCAGAAGGGGAGAGUGGAAUUCCAUGUGUAGCGGUGAAAUGCGUAGAUAUAUGGAGGAACACCGGUGGCGAAAGCGGCUCUCUGGUCUGUAACUGACGCUGAGGCUCGAAAGCGUGGGGAGCGAACAGGAUUAGAUACCCUGGUAGUCCACGCCGUAAACGAUGAGUGCUAGGUGUUGGAUCCUUUCCGGGAUUCAGUGCCGCAGCUAACGCAUUAAGCACUCCGCCUGGGGAGUACGACCGCAAGGUUGAAACUCAAAGGAAUUGACGGGGGCCCGCACAAGCGGUGGAGCAUGUGGUUUAAUUCGAAGCAACGCGAAGAACCUUACCAGGUCUUGACAUCCCGAUGCUAUUUCUAGAGAUAGAAAGUUACUUCGGUACAUCGGUGACAGGUGGUGCAUGGUUGUCGUCAGCUCGUGUCGUGAGAUGUUGGGUUAAGUCCCGCAACGAGCGCAACCCCUAUUGUUAGUUGCCAUCAUUCAGUUGGGCACUCUAGCGAGACUGCCGGUAAUAAACCGGAGGAAGGUGGGGAUGACGUCAAAUCAUCAUGCCCCUUAUGACCUGGGCUACACACGUGCUACAAUGGUUGGUACAACGAGUUGCGAGUCGGUGACGGCGAGCUAAUCUCUUAAAGCCAAUCUCAGUUCGGAUUGUAGGCUGCAACUCGCCUACAUGAAGUCGGAAUCGCUAGUAAUCGCGGAUCAGCACGCCGCGGUGAAUACGUUCCCGGGCCUUGUACACACCGCCCGUCACACCACGAGAGUUUGUAACACCCGAAGUCGGUGAGGUAACCUUUUGGAGCCAGCCGCCUAAGGUGGGACAGAUGAUUGGGGUGAAGUCAUAACAA
rnacentral:rRNA from 1 species